rnacentral:lncRNA from 1 species
UGAAACCCCAUCUCUACUAACAAUACAAAAAAAAAUUAGCCAGGUGCAGUGGCAUGUGCCCAUAAUCCCAGCUACUAGGGAGGCCCGUAAUCUCCUGAGGCAGGAGAAUCACUUGAACUCAGGAGGUGGAGGUUGUGGUGAGCUGAGAUUGCACCACGGCACUCCAGCUCAGGGGUGACAGGGCAAAACUCUGUCUCAAGAAAAAAAAUAAAAUCUGAUCUUGAAGGUCCUGCUUAUAACCACCUUACUGCCUCUGAGAUGGAAGGGGACUUCUGGACACAGCAAAGGAAGGGUCCCCAUGCCAUGGUGUUUGUCAUGCUGUGAUAUAACUAGUUGUUUACUCAUCUGUGAGUCCCCUGAGCCAGAAGCUUAUUCAGGACAGGACCCAUGUCUGAUUCUUCUCGGUGCCCUCUACCCAAAGCCCAGCACAGAGUAGGCCUGUUUGUUGAAUGAAUGAAUGAAUGAAUGAAUGAAGCAAAUAUAAAUAGAUGAGAGGGUAGAGCACCUGGCCUGUGAGCUGC